UUGGUCAUAAAUUUGUUCAUUAAUUUCAACUCAUAAAAGUAAGUAGAGGGAUUUAAGAACGCAAUCAUAAAUUGAAGUGAAAAAUUAUAGAAUUUCGGGAAAUAAUGUGGAGGCGGGUGAAUUAGGAAGUUCUUCGCUCAUUCAUUACGUGAUAUAUAUAUAUAUAUUCAAUUGCAUGUGGAUUCAUCGUCCUAAGGAUAUAUAAAAUACAAAUUUAUGAGCAGAAGCUGGAUCUGUGCAGAAUCUCCUCGUUUUACUCUACUCUUCUACUCAAUCGAACCCUUUCAUACUCAUUUCUGAAUCAAGAACUUGAAGCUGUAAUCAAAUCAAUCCGUUCAUAGUCGCUCCCUAAUUUCUGAGUUUUUUUGUUCUUUUCACUCUUCCAGUUUUCGAGUUGAGAAUGUUGAAGCCCUUGCACCGAGGUGUUUCUGGGACAAGGAUCUGUGAGGGUAGCCGUGACUUAAAUGGAACUGAGAAGGGAGAUUUUGAUGCGAAGUGUUCUUCAUAUGAAAGUGAUGAAAUGUUUAGGUUCUUGUCUGAUUCGUUCGUAUUGGGAACUCUAAGAAAUCAGCACAAGUUAGCUAAGCAAAUGUUGAGCUUCAGCAUACCGUUGAUUGUUCUUGUAAUCUUCUUUGGAUUGUUUUGGUGGUCUGUAUCUAUUUCGACUUCAUCCAGACUUCACGCAGCUCGUAGUUACGAUAAAAUUCAAGAACAGGUUGUUUUAUACCUUUCUGAGAUUGGGGAGCUUGCUCUUGGUCCUUCAAGGUUAAGAGAAUUGGAGUUCUGUUCCCAAGAUUUUGAAAACCAUGUUCCUUGUUUUAGUGCUCGAGAAAACCCUGACUCGGGAUAUGCCGAUCGUUCUUGUGAGCUAGAACCAAAGCAAAAUUGCAUUGUACCACCUCCUGUGAAGUACAGGGUUCCUCUUAGAUGGCCCAUUGGAAGAGAUGUUAUCUGGUUUGCGAACGUAAAAAUGACUGCUGACGAAGUCCUCUCUUCGGGAAGCAUGACCAAGAGGAUGAUGAUGAUGGAGGAAGAGCAGAUAUCGUUCCGUUCUGAUUCUUCGAUGUUUGAAGGGAUAGAAGAUUACUCCCACCAAAUUGCAGGGAUGAUUGGGCUGAGAAAUGUAUCUAAUUUCAUACAAGCUGGAAUAAGAACUAUUCUCGAUAUUGGAUGUGGUUAUGGUAGCUUUGGAGCUCAUCUCUUUUCGAAACAGCUUUUGACCAUGUGCAUAGCAAAUUAUGAAACAUCUGGCAGUCAAGUUCAACUAACGCUCGAGCGAGGUCUUCCUGCAAUGCUAAGUUCUUUUGCUUCAAAACAGUUGCCAUAUCCAUCUUUCUCCUUCGAUAUGGUUCAUUGUGCGCAAUGUGGUAUCGAUUGGGACCUAAAAGAUGGUAUCUAUUUAACUGAAGUCGACAGAGUCUUAAGGCCCGGGGGAUAUUUUGUUUGGAUGUCGCCAAUUGCCGAUGCUCAGAGCUUCCUCCACAACAAAACCAAUCUGAAAAAGUGGAACGCUGUUCGUGAUUUUACCGAGAGCCUCUGCUGGGAAAUGCUGUCCCAACUAGACAAAACUGUGGUAUGGAAAAAAACUAGCAAAUCAAGCUGUUAUCAUUCGAGGAAGCCUAGUUCGGGUCCUCCACUAUGUCGUAAAGGCCAUUAUGUCGAAUCUCCAUAUUAUCGUCCCCUCGAAAACUGCAUUGGUGGAACAAAAAGCUCUAGGUGGUUUCCUGUUGAACAGAGGACAUGGCCUUCUAGAGCUAACUUAAACAAGAGUAAACUUGCAGUUUAUGGAGUACAAUGGGAAGAUUUUGCUGAAGAUUCCAUGAAAUGGAAAAUGGCCGUCAAUGAUUAUUGGCCUCUUAUGUCGCCACUGAUAUUCUCAGAUCACCCGAAGAGACCCGGCGAUGACGAUCCUUCGCCCCCAUAUAACAUGCUGCGUAACGUGCUAGACAUGAAUGCUCAGUUUGGAGGAUUCAAUUCAGCCCUGUUGGAAUCUGGCAAGGAUGUAUGGGUCAUGAAUGCAGUUCCAACAACUGGAUCUAAUCACCUUCCAUUGAUCGUCGACAGAGGCUUUCUUGGUGUAUUACACGAUUGGUGUGAAGCAUUCCCUACAUAUCCUAGAACAUACGAUAUGGUGCACGCAGACGGUAUUUUAUCCCUUGAAGCUUUACGACAUCGUUGCAGUAUGCUUGAUCUGUUAUCCGAGAUCGAUCGGUUACUUCGUCCUGAGGGUUGGGUGAUAAUACACGACACCACGAACCUCAUCGAAUCGGCAAGAAUGUUAACGACACAGCUGAAAUGGGAUGCUCGAGUUAUCGAGAGCGAUAGCAACAUGGACAAAAGAUUGCUCGUCUGCCAGAAACCGUUCUUAAAGAAGAUAGCGAAUUCGUAACGAAUUUCGAUCAAGGAAAAUUAGGUUGCGGAAUGAAUUCGUCUUGCAGUUCAUAGAUUAACCAAAUUGUAGAAAAAAGGUAUUUAUCGGCAACUCCGAUUGGAAGACGACUUUAAAAUAACGGUAGGAGAAGAAGGUGACGUCGUUGAAGUAGAAAGUUCCAAGAAUCAUAGCUCCCGCUUCUUCUAUGCCAGCUAUAUUUUCUAUGCAUUCAUCAGGUCCAGCUACUUGUACUCGCUGCCAACUUGCUAGAAGCACCUCCGCCUCUGUAGCUACCGAAUCCCCUGGUCAAUAGCUUGACUAAUGCACUAAUGUCCUGAUUCGAGAUUUGAAAAUGAGAAACUGUGUUAUCAUCGUAUUUAAUUUUAUGUUCUAACAUA